UUGGUCCCAGGCAGCACAUAUGUUAAAAUUGAACCAACACAGAGAGGAUUAGCAUGGACCCUGAGCAAGAAUUACACACAAAUUCACGAAGUUGUCCAUAUUUUA
ensembl:snRNA U6 U6 spliceosomal RNA